AGGAAAAAAGGGCUCUGCCGAGGAAGCUACACUUGUCCUGAGCACUCAUAUGGAUUCAGAAAGAAACAUACCCAAUAUUUUCGCCUAUAUUUUACUCAGUCUUUCCACUCGCAAAAUCCGCACAUUAUCAUACACUACCACUUCAGAUCACUCUUUGCUAUUUGCCUUCUCUCUCUCCUUCCAACACAGGAAAUCAUCUCUUCUCUUAACAGUAAUUGAUCCAUCAAACAACAAACACCACAUUUCUUGCCAUUCUUGAAAUACAUUCACUUUGAUGCAUUGAGAAUGACCCUUAAGAGUGGCACGGGCCAGGCCUGCGCUGCAUGCAAGUACCAGAGGAGGCGGUGCACCCCCGAAUGCCUCCUCGCCCCCUUCUUCCCGGCCGACCAACCCAAGAUGUUUCUGAACGUGCACAGACUGUUCGGGGUGAAACAUAUCCAGAACUUACUCAAGGAGCUUGACCCCGAUCAGAAACCCAUGGCCAUGAAGUCUAUCAAGUUUCAUGCCGCUAUGCGUGAUAAGUAUCCUGUCUACGGAUGCUUGGUUGAAAUACAACAACUCACUUACCAAAUUCAGCUUGCUGAGGAGGAACUUCAAGCUGUUCUGCAACAGUUAGCUUAUUAUCGGCAGCAACAGCAUCAACAACAAGACAUGUCACCUACAGAUGAUUACCUCUCACAGUUACAACUCGGCAUGGCACCUCCAGGAAAUGCCGGCAUGCCAGUUGUCCAUCAAGAUAAUCCUCCACAACAGUACAACGUUGUGACAGCAGUCCCAGUUGCACCACAUGCCUCGUAUUCCAACAAUGCCAAUGCUAAUUAUAAUACUAACUUGGACUCUAAGGAGAACAAUGAUGUCGACUCUUUGUGGUUUCAACAAGCAUAUAGUUAUAAUAGCAAUAAUACUAAUCCCAAUUCAAUGGUCAUACAAUCACAAUUGGCUACUUCAGAACCUAUGCCUAUCCCACAAGAAGCACCUCAAGAUUACAAUGAGAUGCACCCGUUUUUCGACAACAUUGAUGACAGACAAUCCUAUAUCGGCUCCAAGGAACCGUAUGAAUCCAGUUUGGAAUCACCGCUGAAAGAUUCUAGGCAGACUGUCGAGCAAAUAGCUGAGAAUGAACUGAAGAGUGCUGCAGCAUGCUUCAGCCUUACCAGUGUCAACUAAUAAAUAUCAAAUCGGAGUACGUUCUAGCAGAGUUGCAUGGCCAACUGAGAUCCAAUUUUGUUUUCUAUUUCAUAGAAACUUCAUAGAAUGUUGAAGGCUAUGCUAGAUAGCAACAACUAACGGGAAAAAGACUAGCAGCAGCUGGAGAUAAUGUUUCCAGCUCAUGCACAAAGCUAAAUAGAACAGCAGAGGAUGACUAGACAGUUAUGGCAGGUCCUUCUACUUGUAAGCAGUAUUUCAAAAGAAAGUCAUCAGAGGCGCCCCCGAGCAGCAUCCUUAGGUGGGGCACUUAAAAAUUGCCUCAAGGUAAUUGUGGUGUGGGGAGGGAGGGGGGGGGUUAUUUGUCGUACGGGGCAUAUGCCCAAGUUCGAGGCAGGUGGCCUGGCGGUUGAGGUGUAUGCAUUUUGUGCCACAGGCCAAUGGGUGUGUACCCCAAAGAAAUUUGAAUAAAUCCCAAUUUCCAAAGGUAUAAUCAUCUAAAGUAGUGAUAAUCAACUAUUAAAUAAUCCAUAUUUACCAAAGCAUUAUAAAAACAUCAAAAAGCUUUAGAAGAAAAAGAAUACCUUCAGAAAUCUUGCUUUUAUUCCUCUUCAAUUUUUUUAACUUUUUCCCUGUAACUAUUCUAAAGCUUCCUAUUGAUUUUUAAGAAUUGUCCUCUGCUAGGCUAGCUAUGUGAGUCUGUUGAGCAAUUAAAAUGAUAAUAGAUUUCUAUGAUUACAUAUAUGCAUCCUAUACAUACAUAGAGUUUUUUUUCAGUAAAUACAUGCAUAGAGUUUCAUUCCAUGCUUUGAUGGAGUUAUUGUGUAGAGCUUUGUGUAUGCUUGCACAUUUAGAGUAGUGCCUGGCGUGUCACCUAGCUUUGGACUCUUUAAUACCCUUCUCAUAGACAUUCUUAUUUGAAUUCAUAUCAAUAAAAGACAAUUCUUCAUCCAUGUUUUUGCUUAUUAGUCUUAAAUAUGAUGAAGUUCCUAAGUCAUACAUCGCCGCGGCAUCAUGCAUAUCAUAGUGAUCAUGAAACGCAUGAAACAUGAGUUUAUGAUCUUGAUUUGAAAUGUUCCAAAGUCAAUGUUAUUCCCUCCCACAACUCAUGAGACACAGGGAAAUAGCGAUUAAUUUCCUUAUUUAUAGUAGAACUUUUCAUUUCUUUUAUCUUAUUCCACUAACCGUGAGAUAAUGAAAAUAAAAGGUGAUAACAUUUCCUCUAAAAGUUUGCAUCGCUUUAUUCAUAUCAUGAUAUGACCUAGACCAAUGUGAUUGGAUGAAAGUUAUUUAGUAUGUGAUUGGCUUUUAUUUAUUUAUAGAUUGUAACUAAAAUGAGGCCGUCGUGUCUCACCUUCUCUAUCCCUCCUGUAUAACUUCCCUUAGAUUCAACCCAAGGUUUCUAAUAUUUAUGAAAAAUCUCUAAUUUGUCUUGUUGCAUUUCCCUCUUAAAACAUAUUCUUACUUAUGUCAAUAUGUGAUAUUAAAUACGACCUUUUAAUUCUCUAUUACAGCAAUAGCUAUCGAUUUACUUUCCUCCUUAAUUUUAUGGGAUAAUAUUUUCUUCUUAAUGUGCUGGCUUAAUCCUUAAGUUCUUAAUAUUAAUUUUAAAUUUUUAACUAUAUUAAAUACGAAAACUAACAAGGAAAACGCUCUGCAGAAAUAUAUGAAGGCAUCAGCCAACAUCACCUUACACCUUUUAAUGCUGCUUCUAAGUUGAGAUGCCUGAUCAAAUUCUAUAUUGAACUAAGUUAAAUACUUGGGAACUCGUUAAAGAGUAAUCAAUUUGGACUUUACCAUCAAACAGUUGAAAUAAAUUUCACCAAUAUUAUAGCUGAGGACAUGCUUGGAAACUAUACGUUCUUGAUCGGAUAGAACAUGCAGUUACCACUCAUUCCACUUAGCUGAAUCUCAUAACAUUUCAUUCUCACCAAACCUUUUAGCAAUUGAUUUAGUUUAUUUACUUCAGACAGAUGUUUUAAAUUUUUUUCUGGACCCCUGUUUCAUUCGCUUGCUACUAAGGUGUGGUUACAAGUUCCUAAGAGAAUAGCUGCAUUCAUACAGUUCAUGUUUAUUUAUCAACUAUGAAACUGGAAAAGGUAUAUAUUGAUUGACGUUGUGUAUCACAUUACAUAUAGAAAAUAAGCUGCUGACCAUAUUUGAUAAGAUAGUUAAUUAUGUUUUAAUAUAUUUUCUUGGAUCAGACACUUCGAAAGUUUUUAAAAUGAGAUAGGAUAAGCUUGUAUUCUGUAAAGCCUCUUUAUCAGAUUGUGUAAUGAGCAGAGUUGAGGUUCAUUAACUAUAUUUUUAGCAACAUUAAAUGGUCAACUGUUAACAUAUGCGUUUGCAGUCACAAAAAUAUGUAAUCGGGCUUUUCCUUGCACCAAGAUCAAUAUGAGCUGUUCACAAAAGAAACAU